GUCCACGCCUUAAACGAUGGGUACUAGGUGCUGGGCCGCAAGGUUCAGUGCCAAAGUUAACGCAUUAAGUACCCCACCUGGGGAGUACGAUCGCAAGGUUGAAACUCAAAGGAAUUGACGGGGGCCCGCACAAGCAGUGGAGCAUGUGGUUCAAUUCGAUGCAACGCGAAGAACCUUACCUGGGUUUGAAAGGCCGGUGCCAACCGAUGAAAGUCGGUAUUGUAGCAAUACACACCGGUACAGGUGCUGCAUGGCUGUCGU
rnacentral:rRNA from 1 species